CUGGGACCAGGGGAGGACUGGGACCAGGGAGGGACUGGGACACAGGGACUAGGGGAGGACUGGGAGACUGGGACGACUGGGAGACUGGGACCAGGGACGACUGGGAGACUGGGACAAGGGGAGGACUGGGAUUACUUGGAGACUGGGAGGACUGGGACCAGGGACGACUGGGAGACUGGGACAAGGGGAGGGCUGGGAGACUGGGAGUACUGGGAGACUGGAACUACAGUUAGGGCUGUAGUAGUACUGUAGUAUUACUGUAGCAGUAAUGUAGUAGUAAUGUGGUACUGCAGCAGUAAUGUAGUACUCCUUUGGUACGGUAGCAGUAUUUUGGUACUACAGUACUACUUCAGUACUGUAGUAGAACGGUAGUAGUACUGUAGUACUGACCAGGUCUAAGGGCGACUCCAAACCAAACGGACCCUCUGGACUGUGAUUACUUGUGUUUAUUUGGGGGAAAUGCAGACAAAGCCUGUGUGAGUGAGUGGGCUCAGGCAUUGUCCUGCUGAAUGGUGCAUUGUGGGUCGUAUCCUAAGACCCCCGCUGUUCCCCACGCAGAGCCGGACGACUGGGAACAAUGAGACUUUAUAAACCCAGACUCUUUGAACCCACCGUCCUCCGGUCUGUCCCUGAGGCCAGACCUCAUGUCCCUCUGGGCCGACCAUGUAUGGCAAUAUGACGCAACAUUGCAGGCCGUCUGAGGAAGGCCUUGAUAAACGGAACAACUGUACGAUCGGCCGAAUCUGUUGAUGUAGGGCCAAGCAGCUCUCUCAUUGGUUGUCUGUCUUUAUGUAAAGCCAGGGCGCUCUCUCCGAUUGGCUGAAUCGUUGAUGUCUGUAUUUUGUAAAACAGAACGAUGACUGGGGAGGUCUGGCCCAUGAUGAGAUCAUGUAAAGGUCAGAGGGCAAGGCUCCGCCCAGACGACGGGUAAUUACUGCUAGCAUGAUGCUAACGAGUGCUGUGUUAGCAUGGAGCCACUGACAGCUGUGUAGUUUAACUGGUAAACACAAGACUGUUAGCAUGGAGCGACUGACAGCUGUGUAGUUUAACUGGUAAACACAAGACUGUUAGCAUGGAGCGACUGACAGCUGUGUAGUUUAACUGGUAAACACAAGACUGUUAGCAUGGAGCGACUGACAGCUGUGUAGUUUAACUGGUAAACACAAGACUGUUAGCAUGGAGCGACUGACAGCUGUGUAGUUUAACCAGUAAAUAUAGGACUGUUACUACGAUGCGAAUGGCCGCUGUGACUCCUAACUGCAUGUUUCAGUGUUUCUCUCCCCAUAUGAAGCUAACCUCCGGCACACUCCACCGGCUUUUCCUUCUACCGUUUUACUAACAUGCUAACUUUUGCAAACAAUUCAUUCCGAUUCUCACUUAUCAUUAUAACAAUGGUUUAACAAUGCAUUAGUAUUUGAGAAUUGAAUACAUAAUUAACUGUCUUGAUUUGCCAUUUGAUAUUAUGUGAAAAUAUGUUUUUGUAGAUUCAAGAAUGUUACUGUUUUGGAGAAAAAGCUCCUAUGAACUAUACUCCUUUAGCUGAUAGAAGUUUAAUGUCCGUGAUCUCAAACAUCCUCAGAAGCAUCUAUAAGGUCCUGGAACUAAAACCUAAACAAAGCUUGUUUAGAGGUCCCAGAUCUCAUCAGAGUGUGUUUAAGGUCCUAGACCUAAACCUCAUGGGGGAGAAAUACCGCAGGAGAUUUAGCCCAAACUAUUUAAAUAAUCCUCAGUGGCACGGCGGCAGGCCCAGAAAGCCUCGUCAGAGCUGGUCUCCCAGUCAGAGCUGGUCUCCCAGUCAGAGCUCUGUCUCCCAGUCAGAGCUGGUCUCCCAGUCAGAGCUCUGUCUCCCAGUCAGAGCUGGUCUCCCAGUCAGAGCUGGUCUCCCAGUCAGGGCUGGUCUCCCAGUCAGAGCUGGUCUCCCAGUCAGAGCUCUGUCUCCCAGUCUGGGCUGGUCUCCCAGUCAGAGCUCUGUCUCCCAGUGCUGGUGUUAAAGGAACGUCUCUCAGCUCACAGGGUGAAGAUGACCGCGUCAAUGAGCUCCCGUCUGUCUCUUGUCACGAGCUCCUGUCUUGUCUCUCGUCACUGAGCUCCUGUCUGUCUCUCAUCACAGGUGUCCUGGUGCCAAAUAUGGCCUCAGAAUCCUCAGGUCUAUUCCAGAAUUAGACCUCUGAGGUGAAUGCUCUGUGUGUGUGGUUGUAGGAUCCCCCCCCCGCUCAACCUAGUCCCACCUGGUCCAGUCUAGUCCGGUCUGGUCUGGACGAGUUUAGUCUAGUCUGGUCUGGUCCGGUCUGGUCCGGUCUGGUCCCGUCUUCCCUCCGGUUGUCAUGGCGCCACAUGGCCCACCCGGUGGCGGUGGUCGGUGUUGGUCUAAGGCCUCCCGGAAUGCAUCUCCUAAUCCGUUCAUGUUUAACUUCUCCCUUAUAAUUGAUAAUUGUCCUCAGUUUCCCAUUUCCCUUAAAUAACAACGUUAGCAUAGCAUCUGGCCAGAAACAGCAGCCUUCAUAACUUUGACCUUCACCUUAAAGUCAAGGUUAAACAUAAGUGUAACCUUCACCUAAAGUCAAGGUUAAAGUUAGGUUUAAACUUCACAUUAAAGUGUAGGUUAAACUUAUGUUAAACCUUCACUUUAAGGUGAAGGUCAAAGUUAUGAAAGUUGUCGUAACCUUCCCUUCAGACUUAAGUCAAACCCUAACUGCAUGCAUUCCCCUGAGAGUUCGCCUGAGAAGACCUCUCCAGUGUCAGGGACUUAACUCAGGGAGCACGACGUAACCCCAAACCCUUAAACCCUAAACCCCUUAACCCCGCCCCCGGCUCAUCCCUCUGCUCUCCUCCCCAGCCCCAUCUUGAGUUCUUUAACGUGCCUGUGUACUGAUUGGCUGUCAUCGCUGAUGAUGCUGUCCUCCUGCACGCUGCGCUGCUUAGCCCCGCCCACCCCUGUCUGCCCACCCGCCUCAUGUUACAGCAUGUGGAACAUGUUAUAGUAUAUUAAAACAUGUUAUAGCAUGUAAAACAUGGUACAACAUGUUACAACAUCCAUCUUACUACCCACACGUUACAACAUGUACCUUAAACUUCAUAGCUGUUAACAUGUACCCUUCUGAUAUAAAUGUUACAAAAUAUACGUUAUGACGGACAUGUUACGACACACUUUAUGCAAGUUAAAUAUCCAUGUUAGUGUGCAUCAUUAUAUCAUGUGAUGCUAGCUCCAACAUUAGCACUAUUAACAUUAGCACUUUUAACAUAAGCACUAGCGACAUUAGCACUAGCAACAUGAGCACUAGCCACAUUAGCAGUAGCAACAUUAGCGCUAGCUGAAGCAUUCAGUUCUUGGGUCCUAAGAUGCCAGCUCAGUGUUCUGGAGGUAUCAGAGGCUGGGGCCCUCUUGGUGAUAAAGUAUUUUGACUGGGGGAGAUGGGACCUCAACCGUUACAUCUUGGAGAUGCUGGUGCCAACAAUGUUCAAGUGUUUGUAAUUUUGCUGGGAAACCCAACUUUAUUAAAACCUACAAUCUGUGAUGCCCACGCCGCACCGACACACGCACUUAAUCAGCAAACACUCCCUGACAUUACUCAAGGAUUGGCUUGAGAAUUGUAUUUGAAGGAGAAUAACUUCAUCAUCUCUGCCAUUUUAACAUGAAUCACGACCACAAAACAAAGCUGUAGUUCUGAGAUGUGUCAUAAUCUUCCCUUGACUCCAGAUGCAGUCUAAUGUCAUGUUUGUUGAGUCAUGCGUGUGUUGGAGAAGGUGAGAUGAUCAAAACGUGCUCGUUCGAGCGGUGCAGUUCUAGUUCACACCACUAGAUGGAACCAAUGCAGCGACAGAUAAUCCUCCAUCUGUUAAACCAGAAGUUCAUUCUGGAUUUAUGUAUAAGGUACCAAUUUACCAACCAUACAGUAUAAACAUAUACAUUACUGAGGAUUUAAGGGCGAACGAGAUAAUCAGACACUGUAGAACCUUAUUUUAACUUAAUCUGACGAUAAAGAUGAAGUUGUUGAAGCUAGGUCCAAGAAACAGAAGUCAGAGGUCAUUAGAGAAAUUUAAAGAUUUCGGGAUUGUGGGUUUAAUUUAAAAUUAUUAUAAAUUAUUGUUAUUCUUUUAAUGGUAACGCCUUAGGGUUUUUUUUUCUUUGAAACUCUAUAGCACUUUGAGAUUUUCGAAUGUAAAGUGCUCUACAAAUAACCUGCAUUAUUAUUAUUAUUAGGGGCUAUUUUUCAAUUUUUAUGUUUGGAAUUAUAUUCAUAUUUUAAUGAUUUUAUGUAUAGAAAUUAUUUCUAUUUAUAGAUUUAUACGAUUUGUUACUACAUAUUAAUUAUUACAAAUAUUUCCACAGGGUUUAUAUGAAUGUUGCGGAAAAGUCCUAUAAUCAAUACUUUAAAAUAAAAGAACAAUCACUUUUUUUUAUUGCAAAGAUAUUGUAGAAGUUGAAAUGUUUGAUAUGAUGUAAUCACCCUUGUGUUUGACUCAAAAUAAAAUGUAUUCCUCUAAGCCUUCUCUAUGAAUGUCUGUCAUGAAUUCAUGUUCAACUACGCAGCAAAGUGAAUAAUAAACGCUCUUGAAGACAUGUCA
ensembl:lncRNA